rnacentral:rRNA from 1 species
GAUGAACGCUGGCGGCGUGCCUAAUACAUGCAAGUCGAGCGAACAGACGAGGAGCUUGCUCCUCUGACGUUAGCGGCGGACGGGUGAGUAACACGUGGAUAACCUACCUAUAAGACUGGGAUAACUUCGGGAAACCGGAGCUACUACCGGAUAAUAUAUUGUACCGCAUGGUUCAAUAGUGAAAGACGGUUUUGCUGUCACUUUUAGAUGGAUCCGCGCCGCAUUAGCUAGUUGGUAAGGUAACGGCUUACCAAGGCAACGAUGCGUAGCCGACCUGAGAGGAUGAUCAGCCACACUGGAACUGAGACACGGUCCAGACUCCUACGGGAGGCAGCAGUAGGGAAUCUUCCGCAAUGGGCGAAAGCCUGACGGAGCAACGCUGCGUGAGUGAUGAAGGUCUUCGGAUCGUAAAACUCUGUUAUUAGGGAAGAACAAAUGUGUAAGUAACUAUGCACGUCUUGACGGUACCUAAUCAGAAAGCCACGGCUAACUACGUG